rnacentral:rRNA from 1 species
AUGCACGCUGGCGGCGUGCUUAACACAUGCAAGUCGCACGAAGCACUUUAUUUGAUUUCCUUCGGGACUGAUUAUUUUGUGACUGAGUGGCGGACGGGUGAGUAACGCGUGGGUAACCUGCCUUGUACAGGGGGAUAACAGUUGGAAACGGCUGCUAAUACCGCAUAAGCGCACAGCAUCGCAUGAUGCAGUGUGAAAAACUCCGGUGGUAUAAGAUGGACCCGCGUUGGAUUAGCUAGUUGGUGAGGUAACGGCCCACCAAGGCGACGAUCCAUAGCCGACCUGAGAGGGUGACCGGCCACAUUGGGACUGAGACACGGCCCAAACUCCUACGGGAGGCAGCAGUGGGGAAUAUUGCACAAUGGGCGAAAGCCUGAUGCAGCGACGCCGCGUGAGCGAAGAAGUAUUUCGGUAUGUAAAGCUCUAUCAGCAGGGAAGAUAAUGACGGUACCUGACGAAGAAGCACCGGCUAAAUACGUG